GUACUUGCUUUGGCAGUACAGAUACUAAAACUGGAACGAUACAGAGAAGAUUACAUGGCCCCUGCGCAAGGAUGACACCCAAAAAGAAAAAUAUCGAAGUAUU